rnacentral:rRNA from 1 species
UACGGGGGGGGGCAAGCGUUGUUCGGAAUUACUGGGCGUAAAGCGCACGUAGUCGGCUUUGCAAGUCGGGUGUGAAAUCCCCCGGGCUCAACCUGGGAAUUGCAUUCGAGACUGAAUAGCUAGGGUACGGUAGAGGGAAGUGGAAUUUCCGGUGUAGCGGUGAAAUGCGUAGAUAUCGGAAGGAACAUCAGUGGCGAAAGCGACUUCCUGGACCAGUACCGACGUUCAGGCACGAAAGCGUGGGGGAGCAAACAGG